CAUAAUUUCUGGCCAUGACUUGAUAGAAAAGCCCUAGGCAGCAGCUUGUGGGAAAACCACUUACCCGUUGGGAAAGAGAGAGAGAAGGACAGCUGAAAGAUGUCUUAUCACAGAUGUGCAUAAACCAGGGCUUAACAUAGUGCUGGAGAAGAAUCACCAGAAAAGGGGUUUUGCAUUUUUAAUAAGAAAAU
rnacentral:lncRNA from 1 species